UACGGGGGGGGCAAGCGUUGUUCGGAAUUACUGGGCGUAAAGGGCUCGUAGGUGGCCAAUUAAGUCAGACGUGAAAUCCCCAGGCUCAACCUGGGAACUGCGUCUGAUACUGGUUGGCUUGAAUUCGGGAGAGGGAUGCAGAAUUCCAGGUGUAGCGGUGAAAUGCGUAGAUAUCUGGAGGAAUACCGGUGGCGAAGGCGGCAUCCUGGACCGAGAUUGACACUGAGGAGCGAAAGCCAGGGGAGCGAACGGG
rnacentral:rRNA from 1 species